rnacentral:lncRNA from 1 species
AUGGGUCUGUACCACAGGGUCCAUCUUUCAGGAGCAAACUGCUCCAACCUGGCUCCCCCACAGGCAGCAGCUCCUGCUAGGUCACCUGCUCCUGCAUGGUCUCCUCCACAGGCUACAGGUCCGGCCUGGAAUCUGCUCCACAGGCCGCAGUCUCCAUUGGUGCAGGUCCACCUGCUCCACUGUGGUACUACUCCAUGGGCUGCAGGGGGGCAGCCUGCUUCACCAUGGUCCUCACCACAGGCCACAGGGGACUUCUGCUCUGGCACCUGGAUCACCUCUUCCCCCUCCUUCACUGACCUUGGCACCUGCAAGGUUGUUCCUCACUCCUCUCACUCUCCCAGCUGCUCUGUGUUUAUAGAGCCAGUGGAAUGAGAUGGACAGAGCGAGCCACUGUGAAUGCCGUUCCCCUGGUGCUGCAGGGACCUGCUUCUGACCGUUGCUGGAGACAGAGUCCUGUCCCACUGUGGCCAGUGCUUCCGUAACUCCAACCUCUGCACAAUACCACGAGGAAAUGGAGAAGCUGCUCUUCUUGUUCUGCUUGUCUUGGACAGAAGAGCCUUGGUCUCACACAGGUUUGUUGGCAGUAUUGUUUUUCCUCAGGUCUCAGUCCCCCCCGUGUCCCCCCC